AAAGUUUUUCUAGCUUAAGCUUUUUUUAUAAAAAGAUAAUUUACAUGUAAAUUUUGGUCGGAAUUUAUUUAUCUUUAAAGAAGGUAAAGCUAUUUAUAAGGUCGCAGUAAAUAGAAUUAUUUAUUUAAUAGGUUAAGAAAUAGAAUAAUUUUUAGUACAAACUAAAUUUGUGCCAGCAGUUGCGGUUAGACUGAUUGUGCAAUAAAAAAUGGUCGGGUUCAAAUAAAAAAUUUUUUUUUUGGUCAAAAAAAAAUUAUUUAUUAGGUGAAAUUUUAAUUAAUUUUCAGAUUUGAGGGAAAUUUAUAUUUGGGAAAAUUUUUUUUAUAAACUAGGAUUAGAUACCCUAUUAUAGGAAUUGUAGAUUUAUCCAGAUUAGUGGUAGUUAUGUUCUUGAAAAUCAAAGAUUUUGGCGGUAUUUUAGUCUAUUCAGAGGAACCUGUCCUGUAAUUGAUAAACCACGUUUUAAAUCACUUACUCUAGAAGUUUGCAUAUCGCCGUAGGUUGAAUAUUUUUGAAAAAAAAGAAUAUUCAAAAUUUUUUAAGAAAGGAAUUCAGGUCAAGGUGUAGUUUAUGGGUAAGAAGAGAUGGGUUACAAUAAAAUUAUUUAGAUAGAUUUGUUUUUGAAAAGAAUGAUGAAAGUGGAUUUGAUGGUAAUUUCUUGUAAUUUCGGGGAAUGAUUUUAGCUCUAAAAUAUGUACAUAUCGCCCGUCGCUUUCAUUAUAAAGUGGAAUAAGUCGUAACAUAGUAGAUGUACUG
rnacentral:ncRNA from 1 species